rnacentral:rRNA from 1 species
AGCAGCCGCGGUAAUUCCAGCUCCCUUAGCGUAUAUUAAAGUUGUUGCAGUUAAAAAGCUCGUAGUUGAAUUUCGGGAUUAGUACGUUGGUCGUGCCUUCGGUACGUACUGGUGUUACUGGUUCCUACCUUCUGACGAACCAUCAUGUCAUUAAUUUGGUGUGGCGGGGAAUCAGGACUGUUACUUUGAAAAAAUUAGAGUGUUUAAAGCAGGCUCGCGCUUGAAUACAUUAGCAUGGAAUAAUGAAAUAGGACGUUGACCCUAUUUUGUUGGUUUCUAGGAUUGACGUAAUGAUUAAUAGGGAUAGUUGGGGGCAUUAGUAUUCAAUUGUCAGAGGUGUAAUUCUUGGAUUUAUUGAAGACUAACUACUGCGAAAGCAUUUGCCAAGGAUGUUUUCAUUAAUCAAGAACGAGAGUUAGGGGAUCGAAGACGAUCAGAUACCGUCGUAGUCUUAACCAUAAACUAUGCCGACUAGGGAUCGGAUGAUGUUAUUUUUAAUGACUCA